rnacentral:ncRNA from 2 species
UUCUUAUUAAGAGCGACGGAGGUUCAAGGGCCUGUGAAGUCGCGGCAACCCCAGAGAUGGAAGGUGCCGGCCGGAGCCGCAAAAAAGCGGAGCAAUAAGAA